UACGGAGGAUGCAAGCGUUAUCCGGAAUCAUUGGGCGUAAAGCGCGUGUAGGCGGCCCGGUAAGUCCGCUGUAAAAGUCCAGGGCUCAACCCUGGAAAGCCGGUGGAUACUGUCGGGCUCGAGUCCGGAAGAGGCGAGUGGAAUUCCUGGUGUAGCGGUGAAAUGCGCAGAUAUCAGGAGGAACACCGAUGGCGAAGGCAGCUCGCUGGGACGGUACUGACGCUGAGACGCGAAAGCGUGGGGAGCAAACAGG
rnacentral:rRNA from 1 species